rnacentral:ribozyme from 13 species
AGAAGGAGUAUGAGAGGUAAGAAGAACAAAAGGAGAAGUCACUCUCCUCUCAUGUCGUGGUUUCUUCUUCCCAUCUUUUUUGGAGCCUUUUUCUUUCUUUCCUUCUUCUAUUUCUCUAUUUU